rnacentral:lncRNA from 1 species
UCUUGGAACAGUUUCCUAAAAAUAGACUUGACUAUUUUUAAGGCCUUUGAUUAAGUAUUACCAUAUUGCUUUUGGGUUUAUUAUAAUUUGUGGAUUAAACUUCUACCAGCAGUGACUAGGACUGUCAUAGUAGCUCAUAGCAGCUACCUCUUUUUUUUUUUUUUUUUUGGCUUGUGUGCCAGACACUGUGCUAAAUGCUUUAUGUGUGUUAUCUCAUUUAACUGUAACCAUAGCGAUAUGAAGUAGGUAUUAUUUUAUGCCUAUUUAUAGAUGAGAGACUUUUCCAACGUCAUAUAACCAGAUUUGGGAACCAGAUGAUCCAACUUCAGAGCUCUGGCCCUCACUCUACUGAAGGAAUCUGUACCAACGUUGAAAGAUUGCCCCCUUGCUGAAAUAUGCCUGUAAAAAUAACAGAGAAACUUCAGAUGUAUGUAUGACUUAACAGGUGGACAAAAGCAGAGGCAGAGACGCAUGAGAGCAUCCGAUGCCUUUGGAAGAGGAGGAUUCAGGUGGGUGUGGAGUUUCUGGAC